rnacentral:rRNA from 1 species
UAGUAGCGGCGAGUGAAGCGGCAAAAGCUCAAAUUUGAAAUCUGGCACUUUCAGUGUCCGAGUUGUAAUUUGAAGAAGGUAUCUUUGGGUCUGGCUCUGUCUAUGUUUCUUGGAACAGAACGUCACAGAGGGUGAGAAUCCCGUGCGAUGAGAUGUCCCAGACCUAUGUAAAGUUCCUUCGAAGAGUCGAGUUGUUUGGGAAUGCAGCUCUAAGUGGGUGGUAAAUUCCAUCUAAAGCUAAAUAUUGGCGAGAGACCGAUAGCGAACAAGUACAGUGAUGGAAAGAUGAAAAGAACUUUGAAAAGAGAGUGAAAAAGUACGUGAAAUUGUUGAAAGGGAAGGGCUUGAGAUCAGACUUGGUAUUUUGUAUGUUACUCUCUCGGGGGUGGCCUCUACAGUUUACCGGGCCAGCAUCAGUUUGAGCGGUAGGAUAAGUGCAAAGAAAUGUGGCACUGCUUCGGUAGUGUGUUAUAGUCUUUGUCGAUACUGCCAGCUUAGACUGAGGACUGCGGCUUCGGCCUAGGAUGUUGGCAUAAUGAUCUUAAGUCGCCCGUCUUGAAACACGGACCAAGGAGUCUAACGUCUAUGCGAGUGUUUGGGUGUAAAACCCGUACGCGUAAUGAAAGUGAACGUAGGUAGGACCUCCUUUAGGAGUGCACUAUCGACCGAUCCUGAUGUCUUCGGAUGGAUUUGAGUAAGAGCAUAGCUGUUGGGACCCGAAAGAUGGUGAACUAUGCCUGAAUAGGGUGAAGCCAGAGGAAACUCUGGUGGAGGCUCGUAGCGGUUCUGACGUGCAAAUCGAUCGUCGAAUUUGGGUAUAGGGGCGAAAGAC